UACGUAGGGGGCUAGCGUUGUCCGGAAUCAUUGGGCGUAAAGAGCGUGUAGGCGGCCAGGUAGGUCCGUUGUGAAAACUAGAGGCUCAACCUCUAGACGUCGAUGGAAACCAUCUGGCUAGAGUCCGGAAGAGGGGAGUGGAAUUCCUGGUGUAGCGGUGAAAUGCGCAGAUAUCAGGAAGAACACCCGUGGCGAAGGCGGCUCUCUGGGACGGUACUGACGCUGAGACGCGAAAGCGUGGGGAGCGAACAGG
rnacentral:rRNA from 1 species